UUAAUUUUUUUAACCUGGGUAUUAUUAGUUAAGGUCUUUAAACCCAAAGAAUUUGGCGGUAUUUUAUUCCAUUCAGAGGAACCUAUCUCGUAAUUGAUAGUACACGAUUAACUUUACUUAAUUUAUUUGUUUGUAUAUCUCCGUUAUCAGAAAAUCUUUUUGGAGAAAAAAAUUUCUUAUUUUUUUAUUAAAUUAUAUUUCAGGUCAAGGUGCAGCUUAUAAUUAAGAGUAUGAUGGGUUACAAUAAUUUUAUUUUAUUAUGGAUUUGAUUUUGUAAUAUUUUAAUGAAGGUGGAUUUGAUAGUAAUUUAAUUUAUUAAUUAAAGAAUCCACCAC
rnacentral:rRNA from 1 species